AUUGAACGCUGGCGGCAUGCUUUACACAUGCAAGUCGAACGGCAGCGCGGGCUUCGGCCUGGCGGCGAGUGGCGAACGGGUGAGUAAUACAUCGGAACGUGCCCAGUAGUGGGGGAUAGCUAGGCGAAAGCCGGAUUAAUACCGCAUACGACCUGAGGGUGAAAGCGGGGGAUCUUCGGACCUCGCGCUAUUGGAGCGGCCGAUGGCAGAUUAGCUAGUUGGUGGGGUAAAGGCCUACCAAGGCGACGAUCUGUAGCUGGUCUGAGAGGACGACCAGCCACACUGGGACUGAGACACGGCCCAGACUCCUACGGGAGGCAGCAGUGGGGAAUUUUGGACAAUGGGCGAAAGCCUGAUCCAGCAAUGCCGCGUGUGUGAUGAAGGCCUUCGGGUUGUAAAGCACUUUUGGCGGGAACGAAAAGGACUGUGCCAAUACCACGGUUCGAUGACGGUACCCGCAGAAUAAGCACCGGCUAACUACGUG
rnacentral:rRNA from 1 species